UCUUCCCUUAGAAGCACUGCAUGCAUGGCUACUAUGUCACAUGUGUCUCAGUAGGUGGCAGAGAGGAGAGAGGCUAAGCCUACACUCAGUGUUCUGACCUAAGAACAUCUGAAAGAUUAGUAGCUUAACAUU